rnacentral:rRNA from 1 species
GUCGAACGCGAAAGUCCCGCAAGGGAUAAGUAGAGUGGCAAACGGGUGAGUAACACGUGGGUGACCUGCCUUCGAGUGGGGGAUAACGUCCCGAAAGGGACGCUAAUACCGCAUAACAUCCUGCCUUUGAAGAGGUGGAGAUCAAAGCUGGGGAUCGCAAGACCUAGCGCUGGAAGAGGGGCCCGCGUCUGAUUAGCUAGUUGGUGGGGUAAUGGCUCACCAAGGCAACGAUCAGUAUCCGGCCUGAGAGGGCGGACGGACACACUGGGACUGAGACACGGCCCAGACUCCUACGGGAGGCAGCAGUGGGGAAUUGUUCGCAAUGGGCGCAAGCCUGACGACGCAACGCCGCGUGGAGGAUGAAGACCUUCGGGUCGUAAACUCCUUUCGAUCGAGACGAACGGCUCCCGGACGAAUAAUUCGGGAGAGUGACGGUACCGAGAGAAGAAGCCCCGGCUAACUCCGUGCCAGCAGCCGCGGUAAUACGGGGGGGGCAAGCGUUGUUCGGAAUUACUGGGCGUAAAGGGCUCGUAGGCUGCCAACUAAGUUAGACGUGAAAUCCCUCGGCUUAACCGGGGAACUGCGUCUGAUACUGGAUGGCUUGAGAUCGGGAGAGGGAUGCGGAAUUCCAGGUGUAGCGGUGAAAUGCGUAGAUAUCUGGAGGAACACCGGUGGCGAAGGCGGCAUCCUGGACCGACACUGACGCUGAGGAGCGAAAGCCAGGGGAGCAAACGGGAUUAGAUACCCCGGUAGUCCUGGCCCUAAACGAUGAAUGCUU